rnacentral:rRNA from 1 species
CCUACGGGUGGCAGCAGUGAGGAAUAUUGGUCAAUGGUCGGGAGACUGAACCAGCCAAGCCGCGUGAGGGAGGAAGGUACAGAGUAUCGUAAACCUCUUUUGUCAGGGAACAAAGGCGGGGACGUGUCCCCGGAUGAGUGUACCUGAAGAAAAAGCAUCGGCUAACUCCGUGCCAGCAGCCGCGGUAAUACGGAGGAUGCGAGCGUUAUCCGGAUUUAUUGGGUUUAAAGGGUGCGCAGGCGGUCUGUUAAGUCAGCGGUAAAAGCCCGGGGCUCAACCCCGGCCCGCCGUUGAAACUGGCAGUCUCGAGUUGGAGAGAGGUAUGCGGAAUGCGCGGGGUAGCGGUGAAAUGCAUAGAUAUCGCGCAGAACUCCGAUUGCGAAGACAGCAUGCCGGCUCCACACUGACGCUGAGGCACGAAAGCGUGGGUAUCGAACAGGAUUAGAUACCCUAGUAGUC